AAUAGAUACCCUGGUAGUCCACGCCGUAAACGAUGAGUGCUAAGUGUUAGAGGGUUUCCGCCCUUUAGUGCUGCAGCUAACGCAUUAAGCACUCCGCCUGGGGAGUACGGCCGCAAGGCUGAAACUCAAAGGAAUUGACGGGGGCCCGCACAAGCGGUGGAGCAUGUGGUUUAAUUCGAAGCAACGCGAAGAACCUUACCAGGUCUUGACAUCCUCUGCCAACCCUAGAGAUAGGGCGUUCCCCUUCGGGGGACAGAGUGACAGGUGGUGCAUGGUUGUCGUCAGCUCGUGUCGUGAGAUGUUGGGUUAAGUCCCGCAACGAGCGCAACCCUUGAUCUUAGUUGCCAGCAUUCAGUUGGGCACUCUAAGGUGACUGCCGGUGACAAACCGGAGGAAGGUGGGGAUGACGUCAAAUCAUCAUGCCCCUUAUGACCUGGGCUACACACGUGCUACAAUGGAUGGUACAAAGAGCUGCGAACCCGCGAGGGUAAGCGAAUCUCAUAAAGCUAUUCUCAGUUCGGAUUAUAGG
rnacentral:rRNA from 1 species